rfam:Euryarchaeota archaeon 55_53 PW_scaffold_92, whole genome shotgun sequence.
UAGGUAGGCGUCGGCGACCCGCUCGGCAUGCCCAUCGCCCACGUGAUGACUUCGGGCAUGCAGGGUAUAAGGGCCGCAGGAGACCUCGUUGCAAGGAUGC